AAAGUGCAUGCAUAAUUUUAUUUGAAUAAAUUAUAAAGAAGAAAAGGACAUCUGCACAAGAUAUGCUUGUAUUUUCGUGCAGGCAGAUAUUUCGCUACCCUGCCCGCAGCGUUAGGACCCUGUUAAAUGUCAUUCGCUGCGCGUUUCUUUCAAUUCUGCGGAUGCUGCACUGCAGUGAUCUAGGCAGCGACGAUUUACCUUUUAUUUAUUUAUUUAUUUAUUUAGUAUCAAUCACCCCCAAACACACAGUUUAGUGCUAUAUUUUUAAGCUUGCUUAGAAACGCCGACGUGGCCGAGCUUUAACCUCGAAUGCGCCAUUAGUCCAUACAUCAACAUGCUCAGACGAAUAUGACUCGAUAACAUUACCUCCAGUGUUCUGCAGAUCAUAUGUACUUGAACUGAACUUUGAUUUCUUGGGAAAACAAAAGUCAAAGAAUGUAUCGAAGCUGCAGCAGUCUCUAGCUUUCAACUAAGGAUUUUUAGCCAACAUAGAUACAGUCUCCAGCCCGUGAAUCAUCAUAGAGGUUGACAUGAUGCCGGAGUGAUGUCCUUUGAAUCUGUCACUGUAAGUUGAUGCAGUGGCAGAAGGGCCGGUGGUGACCUGAAAGCUCCUCUGUAGUUGUUGUUUUCUCAGCCUAUACACUUGUGUUUCAGUGUCAUUGUGUCAUUCCAAGGACAGUUUGAGAAAGUAACUGCUUGUUUUUGACUUCUCAGUUCUUUGUAUGCUGCUUUUUCUAAAAAUGUAGUUUUCUUUUACAUUUUAAUAAAAAUCACUAUUACAGCUCAA